rnacentral:rRNA from 1 species
AUGGAAUAUUACCAAGCACCCUCCACUAUUUCGGAUAGUAUUUAUGGUUCUACCUUUUCCUUAGCAACUUGCUUUCAUAGUUUUCAUGUGAUUAUAGGUACUCUUUUCUUGAUCGUAUCUGGUAUUCGCCAAUAUUUUGGUCAUCUGACCAAGAAGCAUCACGUUUUUGAAGCAGUUGCAUGGUACUGGCAUUUUGUAGACGUGGUUCGGUUAUUCCCAUUUCUCUCUAUCUAUUGGUGGGGAGGUAUAUGA